rnacentral:lncRNA from 1 species
CAGUUGUACUCGACAAUUCGUGCACUUGUUUGAAAGACAAGUUCCAAUUUCGGGUGAGCAGGUCAAGCAUGAAGAUGUUAACCGUUGUAUGCACUGACAGCAGCUACAAGUGGAUGUUACGUGCUUCUACUGUGAAGCAGUCUGCAAUCUUUGUGAUCCGUAAAUUCAAUAAUAUUCACACAUGUUCCAUCGAUUGUCGCAGUAAUGCGCAUCGACAUGCGACGAGUUCUGUAAUUGUCGAGCACAUUUUGGAAAAAUUGGAUAAUCCGAACCGAUCGUAUGAUCCGAGCACUAUUGCACGUAACAUGGAACGUGAGCUUGGUGUCCA